CUCUUGCUCUUGCUCUUGCUCUUCCUCCUCCUCUCUGUGGAGCUGCCAUGUGAGCCCUGGAAGACAGGACGCCUUCCACCAGUGUACUCCAUAAGGAACAGCAGCAUAACAUCUGUGAGGAGAAACACAAAAACAGCUUUUCCUGAGCAUCAUGACUUGCACAGCCUUUACUGUGGCAGGCUUCUACUUGGAAACAGAAACUUAGGGGCACUUGCACUUCAUGUUUUCCUGAACACAGCAUGGGAAAAGCCAGUGUAUCUGACAUGCCAGGACCUAAGAACACAGGACUUUCAAUCGGUGUCCAUCACUCUCCAUUGCCUCUGCUGCAAUGUCCUUUCAGCUGGAAUGUCACAGAGGCUCCUUCUGGAAGGUUGUUUACAUGGUAGAUUACAUUAUUGUUUUCCAUACAUUGAACCAUCCCUGCAUCUCUGGAAUGAAACCUACUUGAUCUUUUAAAUGUGUUCUUGGAUCUGGUUGCAUGUAUUUUAUUGAGUAUUUUUGCAUCUAUGUUCAUAAAGGAAACUGGUAUGUAAUUCUUUAUUUAUUGGGCCUUUGUGUGGUUUGGGUAUCAGGUAACUGUGACCUCAUAAAAUGAAUUGCA
rnacentral:lncRNA from 1 species